rnacentral:misc_RNA from 1 species
GAAACGCGAUAGUUAAUGUGAAUUGCAGAAUUCAGUGAAUCAUCGAGUCUUUGAACGCACAUUGCGCCCAUAGGUAUUCCUUUGGGCAUGUCUGUUUGAGCGUCAUUACAACCCUCAGCUAACCGCUGGUUUUGAACCUGAACGGGUGACACCGCGCCGGUUUUAAAGUUGUAAGCUCUGCUGGCCGCUCUGCCCAACCAGAACAUAGUAAGCACUACUUGUCCGGGUGAAGCUGAACGGUACGGCCUGAACAAAACCUACCCACUCUCAAGGUUUGACCUCAGAUCAGACAAGGAUACCCGCUGAACUUCAGC